UACGUAGGGGGCAAGCGUUGUCCGGAAUUAUUGGGCGUAAAGAGCGCGUAGGCGGUCCGAUAAGUCGGCUGUGAAAGUCAGGGGCUCAACCCUUGAAAGCCGGCCGAUACUGUCGGACUAGAGUUCGGAAGAGGCAAGUGGAAUUCCCGGUGUAGCGGUGAAAUGCGCAGAUAUCAGGAGGAACACCGGUGGCGAAGGCGGUUCUCUGGGCCUGUACUGACGCUGAGGAGCGAAAGCGUGGGGAGCAAACAGG
rnacentral:rRNA from 1 species